UACGUAGGUGGCAAGCGUUGUCCGGAAUUAUUGGGCGUAAAGCGCGCGCAGGCGGUCCUUUAAGUCUGAUGUGAAAGCCCACGGCUCAACCGUGGAGGGUCAUUGGAAACUGGGGGACUUGAGUGCAGAAGAGGAAAGCGGAAUUCCACGUGUAGCGGUGAAAUGCGUAGAGAUGUGGAGGAACACCAGUGGCGAAGGCGGCUUCUGGUCUGUAACUGACGCUGAGGCGCGAAAGCGUGGGGAGCAAACAGGA
rnacentral:rRNA from 1 species